rnacentral:lncRNA from 1 species
ACAAGCCGGGUGGACAUCGCUGAGGCUUGGAAAAGAUUUCCUCCGGGGAAAAUCCCUCCGGAGUUCUCCAGUCUGGUGUCAGAGUUUCCUGAGUCCUAAUGGAAGGAUUUGAUGAAGACAUCCCAUUUAGGAGCACUUUCAUAAGUGAUUGGUUGUGUACAGAUUUUGAGCUUUGCAGUUAUACAUGCCAUCUUCUGAACAUGACUAAGAAGAUGCCCAGGAUGAAGUUGGGGAAGCAGAAAGAUCAGUGAGAGCAACCUGAACUUGGAAAUGCUGUCUGAAUUUUUAUUCUUUAAUUAUACAUCUAGAGCUGCCUGGGUGCUUGCAAAAUGCCUGUUCCUGGAUCCCAGCCUAUGCUGACACUAUUACAGUCUCUGGAAGCAGAAAAAGAACAGGUGUUUGUAGCCAGAAUCGGAUGAUCCUUUGACUCACAACACUGGGAACAUUUGAUGUGAGAUGUAUUAUUAAUUUGAAACUAAAAUUUUUUCAUCUCAAAUUAAUUGUUACAGAAUAAAAGAUAGGCAAUACUUUGUAACCUUGUUAUUUUUUAGGGAUUACCUAGUAAAUGAAUCAUAGAGAAAAAUAUGAUAAAAGUAGUUAGUUUAGGUGGAGAAUAUUUGUCCUGCAAAAUACAGUACUACAAAAGUAGAACAUUUUUGAAAAACAUAUCUGAUGAUAGCCAUGUCUAUGAUAUAAAAAGAACUUAUAGUUUAAUAUAAAUGCUGAACAUCUGGUAGCAAAAUCAAGUUUUGAAAAAUUUGUAGUCAUUUUUAUUAAAUAAAUUGUAUGAACAACAAAUAAGGAUAUGAAAAGAUGUUCAAAAUUUGUUAUUAAGGAAGAAUAAAAUUAUGAGUGGAAUUUCAACCAA